GGUUAAGCGACUAAGCGUACACGGUGGAUGCCCUGGCAGUCAGAGGCGAUGAAGGACGUGCUAAUCUGCGAAAAGCGUCGGUAAGGUGAUAUGAACCGUUAUAGCCGGCGAUGUCCGAAUGGGGAAACCCAGUGCAAUUCGUUGCACUAUCGUUUGAUGAAUACAUAGUCAAACGAGGCGAACCGGGGGAACUGAAACAUCUAAGUACCCCGAGGAAAAGAAAUCAACCGAGAUUCCCCCAGUAGCGGCGAGCGAACGGGGAGCAGCCCGGAGUCUGAAUCAGCUUGUGUGUUAGUGGAAGCGUCUGGAAAGUCGCAGGGUACAGGGUGAUACUCCCGUACACUAAAACGCACAGGUUGUGAACUCGAAGAGUAGGGCGGGACACGUGGUAUCCUGUCUGAAUAUGGGGGGACCAUCCUCCAAGGCUAAAUACUCCUGACUGACCGAUAGUGAACCAGUACCGUGAGGGAAAGGCGAAAAGAACCCCGGCGAGGGGAGUGAAAAAGAACCUGAAACCGUGUACGUACAAGCAGUAGGAGCCUCUUUAUGGGGUGACUGCGUACCUUUUGUAUAAUGGGUCAGCGACUUAUAUUCUGUAGCAAGGUUAACCGUAUAGGGGAGCCGCAGGGAAACCGAGUCUUAACUGGGCGUUAAGUUGCAGGGUAUAGACCCGAAACCCGGUGAUCUAGCCAUGGGCAGGUUGAAGGUUGGGUAACACUAACUGGAGGACCGAACCGACUAAUGUUGAAAAAUUAGCGGAUGACUUGUGGCUGGGGGUGAAAGGCCAAUCAAACCGGGAGAUAGCUGGUUCUCCCCGAAAGCUAUUUAGGUAGCGCCUCGUGAAUUCAUCUUCGGGGGUAGAGCACUGUUUCGGCUAGGGGGUCAUCCCGACUUACCAACCCGAUGCAAACUACGAAUACCGAAGAAUGUUAUCACGGGAGACACACGGCGGGUGCUAACGUCCGUCGUGAAGAGGGAAACAACCCAGACCGCCAGCUAAGGUCCCAAAGUCAUGGUUAAGUGGGAAACGAUGUGGGAAGGCCCAGACAGCCAGGAUGUUGGCUUAGAAGCAGCCAUCAUUUAAAGAAAGCGUAAUAGCUCACUGGUCGAGUCGGCCUGCGCGGAAGAUGUAACGGGGCUAAACCAUGCACCGAAGCUGCGGCAGCGACACUAUGUGUUGUUGGGUAGGGGAGCGUUCUGUAAGCCGUUGAAGGUGGCCUGUGAGGGUUGCUGGAGGUAUCAGAAGUGCGAAUGCUGACAUAAGUAACGAUAAUGCGGGUGAAAAACCCGCACGCCGGAAGACCAAGGGUUCCUGUCCAACGUUAAUCGGGGCAGGGUGAGUCGACCCCUAAGGCGAGGCCGAAAGGCGUAGUCGAUGGGAAACAGGUUAAUAUUCCUGUACUCGGUGUUACUGCGAAGGGGGGACGGAGAAGGCUAUGUUGGCCGGGCGACGGUUGUCCCGGUUUAAGCAUGUAGGCGGAUGUUCCAGGUAAAUCCGGAACGUUAUCAACGCUGAGGUGUGAUGACGAGGCACUACGGUGCUGAAGUGACAAAUGCCCUGCUUCCAGGAAAAGCCUCUAAGCAUCAGGUAACAUCAAAUCGUACCCCAAACCGACACAGGUGGUCAGGUAGAGAAUACCAAGGCGCUUGAGAGAACUCGGGUGAAGGAACUAGGCAAAAUGGUGCCGUAACUUCGGGAGAAGGCACGCUGAUAGGUAGGUGAAGUGGUUUACCCAUGGAGCUGAAAUCAGUCGAAGAUACCAGCUGGCUGCAACUGUUUAUUAAAAACACAGCACUGUGCAAACACGAAAGUGGACGUAUACGGUGUGACGCCUGCCCGGUGCCGGAAGGUUAAUUGAUGGGGUUAUCCGUAAGGAGAAGCUCUUGAUCGAAGCCCCGGUAAACGGCGGCCGUAACUAUAACGGUCCUAAGGUAGCGAAAUUCCUUGUCGGGUAAGUUCCGACCUGCACGAAUGGCGUAAUGAUGGCCAGGCUGUCUCCACCCGAGACUCAGUGAAAUUGAACUCGCUGUGAAGAUGCAGUGUACCCGCGGCAAGACGGAAAGACCCCGUGAACCUUUACUAUAGCUUGACACUGAACACUGGUCCUUGAUGUGUAGGAUAGGUGGGAGGCUUUGAAGCGUGGACGCCAGUCUGCGUGGAGCCAUCCUUGAAAUACCACCCUUUAAUGGCUGGUGUUCUAACGUGGGCCCGUUAUCCGGGUUGCGGACAGUGUCUGGUGGGUAGUUUGACUGGGGCGGUCUCCUCCUAAAGAGUAACGGAGGAGCACGAAGGUCAGCUAAUCCUGGUCGGACAUCAGGAGGUUAGUGCAAUGGCAUAAGCUGGCUUGACUGCGAGCGUGACGGCGCGAGCAGGUGCGAAAGCAGGUCAUAGUGAUCCGGUGGUUCUGAAUGGAAGGGCCAUCGCUCAACGGAUAAAAGGUACUCCGGGGAUAACAGGCUGAUACCGCCCAAGAGUUCAUAUCGACGGCGGUGUUUGGCACCUCGAUGUCGGCUCAUCACAUCCUGGGGCUGAAGUAGGUCCCAAGGGUAUGGCUGUUCGCCAUUUAAAGUGGUACGCGAGCUGGGUUUAGAACGUCGUGAGACAGUUCGGUCCCUAUCUGCCGUGGGCGCUGGAGAAUUGAGGGGGGCUGCUCCUAGUACGAGAGGACCGGAGUGGACGCAUCACUGGUGUUCGGGUUGUCAUGCCAAUGGCAUUGCCCGGUAGCUAAAUGCGGAAGAGAUAAGUGCUGAAAGCAUCUAAGCACGAAACUUGCCCCGAGAUGAGUUCUCCCUGACUCCUUGAGAGUCCUGAAGGAACGUUGAAGACGACGACGUUGAUAGGCCGGGUGUGUAAGCGCAGCGAUGCGUUGAGCUAACCGGUACUAAUGAACCGUGAGGCUUAACCUU
rnacentral:rRNA from 1 species